rnacentral:rRNA from 1 species
CCUACGGGAGGCAGCAGUGGGGAAUCUUGCGCAAUGGGCGAAAGCCUGACGCAGCCAUGCCGCGUGUAUGAUGAAGGUCUUAGGAUUGUAAAAUACUUUCACCGGUGAAGAUAAUGACUGUAGCCGGAGAAGAAGCCCCGGCUAACUUCGUGCCAGCAGCCGCGGUAAUACGAAGGGGGCUAGCGUUGCUCGGAAUUACUGGGCGUAAAGGGAGCGUAGGCGGACAUUUAAGUCAGGGGUGAAAUCCCAGAGCUCAACUCUGGAACUGCCUUUGAUACUGGGUGUCUUGAGUGUGAGAGAGGUAUGUGGAACUCCGAGUGUAGAGGUGAAAUUCGUAGAUAUUCGGAAGAACACCAGUGGCGAAGGCGACAUACUGGCUCAUUACUGACGCUGAGGCUCGAAAGCGUGGGGAGCAAACAGGAUUAGAUACCCUGGUAGUCCACGCCGUAAACGAUGAUUGCUAGUUGUCGGGAAGCUUGCUUCUCGGUGACGCAGCUACGCAUAGACAUCCGCCGUGGGAGGUACGGUCGCGAAGUAAGUUAAACGUUAAAGUUAGUAAGUUAGUUACGGCGUUGAGACGNGCCGACGGACGACGACGAGGGAGGAGG